UACGUAGGGUGCGAGCGUUGUCCGGAAUUACUGGGCGUAAAGAGUUCGUAGGCGGUUUGUCGCGUCUGCUGUGAAAACUCAGGGCUUAACCCUGAGCCUGCAGUGGGUACGGGCAGACUAGAGUGUGGUAGAGGAGAUCGGAAUUCCUGGUGUAGCGGUGGAAUGCGCAGAUAUCAGGAGGAACACCGGUGGCGAAGGCGGAUCUCUGGGCCAUAACUGACGCUGAGGAGCGAAAGCAUGGGGAGCGAACAGG
rnacentral:rRNA from 1 species